rnacentral:lncRNA from 1 species
UUUAGUUCCUUCCCUCCCUCCGUCGAGCCAUGUUCUUUCCGCCAAAAGCCCCCUUUCCUUCUCUACUCCAUAGUUCUUACCCCUUUUCGUUUUCUUCCCAUCGAAAAGAGGAGGCAGCUGUGCUCUUGGCCCUCUCCCUUCUCUACUCAGUUUGUGCUCUUACUCUACUCUCUUCUCGACUCACCCUUCUCUCUCACCUCUUUCCAUAGCCCCCAACAUCUACACCGUGAGGAUCCCAAAGAUCCCAAGCUUUAAAUCCCAAAGAUCCUUGACCAACCCUCAACGCUCGUGUCCUGAGCUCCAAUGGCUUCAUCUUCUGUCGCUAACACAAGUGCGGA